GACAGAGGGUGCAAACGUUGUUCGGAAUCACUGGGCGUAAAGGGUGCGUAGGCGGGUCUUUAAGUCAGGGGUGAAAUCCUGGAGCUACUACCUCAGAACUGCCUUUGAUACUGAAGAUCUUGAGUUCGGGAGAGGUGAGUGGAACUGCGAGUGUAGAGGUGAAAUUCGUAGAUAUUCGCAAGAACACCAGUGGCGAAGGCGGCUCACUGGCCCGAUACUGACGCUGAGGCACGAAAGCGUGGGGAGCAAACAGG
rnacentral:rRNA from 1 species